rnacentral:rRNA from 1 species
UACGGAGGAGGCAAGCGUUAUCCGGAAUUAUUGGGCGUAAAGCGUCCGCAGGUGGCACUUCAAGUCUGUCGUCAAAGACUGGGGCUUAACCCUGGAAAGGCGGUGGAAACUGAAGCGCUAGAGUGCGGUAGGGGUAGAGGGAAUUCCCGGUGUAGCGAUGAAAUGCGUAGAGAUCGGGAAGAACAUCGGUGGCGAAAGCGCUCUACUGGACCGCAACUGACACUCAGGGACGAAAGCUAGGGGAGCGAAUGGG